GUGGGGAAUCUUAGACAAUGGGGGAAACCCUGAUCUAGCCAUGCCGCGUGAGCGAUGAAGGCCUUAGGGUUGUAAAGCUCUUUCAGCUGGGAAGAUAAUGACUGUACCAGCAGAAGAAGCCCCGGCUAACUCCGUGCCAGCAGCCGCGGUAAUACGGAGGGGGCUAGCGUUGUUCGGAAUUACUGGGCGUAAAGCGCACGUAGGCGGACCGGAAAGUCAGAGGUGAAAUCCCAGGGCUCAACCUUGGAACUGCCUUUGAAACUCCUGAUCUUGAGGUCGAGAGAGGUGAGUGGAAUUCCGAGUGUAGAGGUGAAAUUCGUAGAUAUUCGGAGGAACACCAGUGGCGAAGGCGGCUCACUGGCUCGAUACUGACGCUGAGGUGCGAAAGCGUGGGGAGCAAACAGGAUUAGAAACCCCUGUAGUCC
rnacentral:rRNA from 1 species